rnacentral:lncRNA from 1 species
UACUCCUGAUCCCUCAAGCUAUUUUAUGUCUGCAGAGUGCAAAACCAGCAUUAGAACUUGUUCGGUCUCCCUCUGUUCCGGGAGAAGAGGCUAAAGAGGAGGAAAAUUACAACAACCCUCCGUCUGUUGCUGCACCACAGCCUGGACAACCUGAAUCAAGUGCAAAACCAGCAUUAGAACUUGUUCGGUCUCCCUCUGUUCCUGGGGAUGAGGACAAAGAGGAGGAAAAUUACAACAACCCUCCGUCUGUUGCUGCACCACAGCCUGGACAACCAGAAUCAGUAAGCACCAGCUUUGGUUGGCACUGUCUUUGCUGCAAAGCAGAGUUGGAAGUUUCUGACCAGACAGCA